rnacentral:rRNA from 1 species
CCUACGGGAGGCAGCAGUGAGGAAUAUUGGGCAAUGGGCGCAAGCCUGAACCAGCCAAGUCGCGUGAGGGAUGACGGUCCUAUGGAUUGUAAACCUCUUUUGUCGGGGAGCAAGGCCCGCCUCGUGUGGCGGGAAGGAUAGUACCCGAAGAAAAAGCAUCUGCUAACUCCGUGCCAGCAGCCGCGGUAAUACGGGGGAUGCGAGCGUUAUCCGGAUUUAGUUGGUUAAAAGGGUGCGUAGGCGGAAGGUUAAGUCAGCGGUAAAAUUUCGGUGCUCAACACCGGCCGGCCGUUGAAACUGGUCUUCUUGAGUGAGCGAGAAGUAUGCGGAAUGCGUGGUGUAGCGGUGAAAUGCAUAGAUAUCACGCAGAACUCCGAUUGCGAAGGCAGCAUACCGGCGCUCAACUGACGCUGAGGCACGAAAGCGUGGGGAUCGAACAGGAUUAGAUACCCCAGUAGUC